GGGGAUAUAGCUCAGUGGUAGAGCAUUUGACUGCAGAUCAAGAGGUCCCCGGUUCAAAUCCGGGUGUCCCCU
rnacentral:tRNA from 1 species